rnacentral:rRNA from 1 species
GACGAACGCUGGCGGCGUGCCUAAUACAUGCAAGUCGUGCGCUGAAGGUUGGUACUUGUACCGACUGGAUGAGCAGCGAACGGGUGAGUAACGCGUGGGGAAUCUGACUUUGAGCGGGGGACAACAUUUGGAUACGAAUGCUAAUACCGCAUAAAAACUUUAAACACAAGUUUUCAGUUUGAAAGAUGCAAUUGCAUCACUCAAAGAUGAUCCCGCGUUGUAUUAGCUAGUUGGUGAGGUAAAGACUCACCAAGGCGAUGAUACAUAGCCGACCUGAGAGGGUGAUCGGCCACAUUGGGACUGAGACACGGCCCAAACUCCUACGGGAGGCAGCAGUAGGGAAUCUUCGGCAAUGCACGAAAGUCUGACCGAGCAACGCCGCGUGAGUGAAGAAGGUUUUCGGAUCGUAAAACUCUGUUGGUAGAGAAGAACGUUGGUGAGAGUGGAAAGCUCAUCAAGUGACGGUAACUACCCAGAAAGGGACGGCUAACUACGUGCCAGCAGCCGCGGUAA